CAAUAGCGUAUAUUAAAGUUGUUGCGGUUAAAAAGCUCGUAGUUGGAUUUCUGCCGAGGACGACCGGUCCGCCCUCUGGGUGAGUAUCUGGCUCGGCCUGGGCAUCUUCUUGGAGAACGUAGCUGCACUUGACUGUGUGGUGCGGUAUCCAGGACUUUUACUUUGAGGAAAUUAGAGUGUUUCAAGCAGGCUUACGCCUUGAAUACAUUAGCAUGGAAUAAUAAGAUAGGACCUCGGUUCUAUUUUGUUGGUUUCUAGAGCUGAGGUAAUGAUUAAUAGGGAUAGUUGGGGGCAUUAGUAUUUAAUUGUCAGAGGUGAAAUUCUCGGAUUUGUUAAAGACUAACUUAUGCGAAAGCAUUUGCCAAGGAUGUUUUCAUUAA
rnacentral:rRNA from 1 species